rnacentral:rRNA from 1 species
AUUGAACGCUGGCGGCAGGCUUAACACAUGCAAGUCGAGCGAGCGGCGGACGGGUGAGGAAUGUCUGGGAAACUGCCUGAUGGAGGGGGAUAACUAAUGGAAACGGUAGCUAAUACCGCAUACCAGCAGCUGGGCCCAGAUGGGUUUAGCUAGUAGGGGGGGUAAUGGCUCACCAAGGCGACGAUCCCUAGCGGGUCUGAGAGGAUGACCAGCAACACUGGAACUGAGACACGGUCCAGACUCCUACGGGAGGCAGCAGUGGGGAAUAUUGCACAAUGGGCGCAAGCCUGAUGCAGCCAUGCCGCGUGUGUGAAGAAGGCCUUCGGGUUGUAAAGCACUUUCAGCGAGGAGGCGUUACUCACAGAAGAAGCACCGGCUAACUCCGUGCCAGCAGCCGCGGUAAUUC